rnacentral:tRNA from 1 species
AACGAACAUUCAGCGACACCGAAUCCCCCCUCAACAACCUCUCCAAAAGCCAGAGCACGGGUCUGUAGCUCAGGUGGUUAGAGCGCACCCCUGAUAAGGGUGAGGUCGAUGGUUCGAGUCCAUCCAGACCCACCAGCCUGGGGCCAUAGCUCAGUUGGGAGAGCACCGGCUUUGCAAGCCGGGGGUCGGCGGUUCGAAGCCGCCUGGCUCCACCAGACCCUGGUUGCCCACCGAUGCCCGGUGCAAACCGCUCAAACGAGAUACCUCAAGUCGUUGUGAUAACGUGAGCCCGCCAAGACGCCACCCGGCCCGGCUCCCGCAGCGCCCUGAGGUAUCGGUUUGAUACCGACCCCGGAACCGACCGCAAGGUCAACCCGGAACCGCUCUUUAACAAAA